AGAAUCAACGCUGGCGGCGUGCCUAACACAUGCAAGUCGCACGAGAAAGGGUAGCAAUACCUGAGUACAGUGGCGCACGGGUGAGUAACACGUGACUAACCUACCCUCGAGUGGGGAAUAAACCUAGGGAAACCUGGGCUAAUACCGCAUAACACUUACGAGUCAAAGCAGCAAUGCGCUUGGGGAGGGGGUCGCGGCCGAUUAGCUAGUUGGCGGGGUAAUGGCCCACCAAGGCAAUGAUCGGUA
rnacentral:rRNA from 1 species